rnacentral:rRNA from 1 species
GACGAACGCUGGCGGCGUGCUUAACACAUGCAAGUCGAACGGAAAGGCCCUGCUUUUGUGGGGUGCUCGAGUGGCGAACGGGUGAGUAACACGUGAGUAACCUGCCCUUGACUUUGGGAUAACUUCAGGAAACUGGGGCUAAUACCGGAUAGGAGCUCCUGCAGCAUGGUGGGGGUUGGAAAGUUUCGGCGGUUGGGGAUGGACUCGCGGCUUAUCAGCUUGUUGGUGGGGUAGUGGCUUACCAAGGCUUUGACGGGUAUCCGGCCUGAGAGGGUGACCGGCCACAUUGGGACUGAGAUACGGCCCAGACUCCUACGGGAGGCAGCAGUGGGGAAUAUUGCACAAUGGGCGGAAGCCUGAUGCAGCAACGCCGCGUGCGGGAUGACGGCCUUCGGGUUGUAAACCGCUUUCGCCUGUGACGAAGCGUGAGUGACGGUAAUGGGUAAAGAAGCACCGGCUAACUACGUG